rnacentral:rRNA from 1 species
GAUCGUUUCCUUUAUUUAAUAUAAAGAAUACGAUUAUCUCGCGUCAAAUUAGGUAAUAGGUAUCUGUGACUAAAUUAAUUUUCCUAGCCUUAUUUGUAGUUUGUCUUAAACGUAACAAAUCACAAGGGCCAUGAAAGAAAGGCCUUCCAUCUUUGUAUGGCAGCAGUGCGUAAAAUUUGUCAAUACGUGAAAGCGUGAACAUGAUGUUUAUUAAAGCAAAUAUUUUAUAUAAUUGUUAAAGUUCCGGCAAAUUCCGUGCCAGCAGCCGCGGUAAGACGGAAGGAGCUAGCUUAUUACGUAAGAAAUAGGUAAAAUCGAGUGUAGGUGUAAUAGUCAUAUAAGUGUAGCAUAAUUUAGUGUGUAACAGUAAAAUGUUGAAAAAUACUAAGGAAUGUCAAAGGUGUAGACAGCUUAUCUUAUUAAAUUAACUCCUUUUUUUUAACAAUAUAAGGAAAAGACUUUAAAUUUUUACUCGGAAGUUCAGGUAGCAAACCGGAUUAGAUACCCGACAUAGUCUGAACCGUCAAAAGGAUGAUUAAAUACAUAAUCAUAUACCUGGUGAUACGUUCUCAAGAAUUGUAAUCAUAGAAAUUGGCAGCCAUAGACAUACGCUGUGGAUCAAAUACAAGAAAAGGGCGUCUCGCGCUCCGCGCCCUAUUCUUUAAAAAAAAGAAUAGGGCGCCUCGCGGAGUCACCCGGCUCCGUCCGGGGGACUCCGCGGGGCGCCUCGCGCUCCGCGCGAGUCACCCGGCUCCGUCCGGGGGACUCCGCGGAAGGUCCAGCCUUUAUUAGUUAAAGGUUUAAUUAACGCUAUAUGCUGAAAACAAACCAACCUAUUAUACAGUAAUACGAUAUUACAAUAAUACGAUAUUACGAUAAUACGAUUAUACGUUUGCAUCAGCAGAAAACUGAAAAAUAAGGCGCCUCGCGCUCCGCGCGAGUCACCCGGCUCCGUCCGGGGGACUCCGCGGCAGGAUUCUCAGAGACUAUACGCGUUACAAUCUUAUUUAUAUGAUUGAUGAUAUAGUCCGAUUCUUUUUAAUAAGAAUUGCAUGCGGUUUAAUAGGAAGCAACGCCUAAAACCUUACCAUUCAUUUCCGAUAAUUAA